rnacentral:rRNA from 1 species
UGCAGUCGAGCGGAGAUGAGGUGCUUGCACCUUAUCUUAGCGGCGGACGGGUGAGUAAUGCUUAGGAAUCUGCCUAUUAGUGGGGGACAACAUUCCGAAAGGAAUGCUAAUACCGCAUACGCCCUACGGGGGAAAGCAGGGGAUCUUCGGACCUUGCGCUAAUAGAUGAGCCUAAGUCGGAUUAGCUAGUUGGUGGGGUAAAGGCCUACCAAGGCGACGAUCUGUAGCGGGUCUGAGAGGAUGAUCCGCCACACUGGGACUGAGACACGGCCCAGACUCCUACGGGAGGCAGCAGUGGGGAAUAUUGGACAAUGGGCGGAAGCCUGAUCCAGCCAUGCCGCGUGUGUGAAGAAGGCCUUUUGGUUGUAAAGCACUUUAAGCGAGGAGGAGGCUACUUAGAUUAAUACUCUAGGAUAGUGGACGUUACUCGCAGAAUAAGCACCGGCUAACUCUGUGCCAGCAGCCGCGGUAAUACAGAGGGUGCGAGCGUUAAUCGGAUUUACUGGGCGUAAAGCGUGCGUAGGCGGCUGAUUAAGUCGGAUGUGAAAUCCCUGAGCUUAACUUAGGAAUUGCAUUCGAUACUGGUCAGCUAGAGUAUGGGAGAGGAUGGUAGAAUUCCAGGUGUAGCGGUGAAAUGCGUAGAGAUCUGGAGGAAUACCGAUGGCGAAGGCAGCCAUCUUGGCCUAAUACUGACGCUGAGU